AGUUUUAGGUCAUUGAUUCAUCUGUGCUGAAAGGUCACGUGGCCCAAGCUGGCCAGUCACCGCCUUGCUGCCAGAGACUGUGGUCCCAACAGGAUGGUGGGGCUGGGCCUGGGCCCAGCCAGAAGGAAGCCUUGGCAUCAAACACGAAUGUCAAGCAAAUGGGCGGAAGACCUCAAGCGAGCUUGUAUUGCCGAAAAGCUGGGUGGGUCCUUGAUUGUAGCCUUGAAGGGUGCCCGUGUAGUGUCGUUCCAGUGCCACAGCGAAAGCUUCUGUGUUUAAUGUUACCCUCUUGCUCCAUAAGUAAAGCAGAUGCAUUUAUGCCAGGGUCUCACUGAGGGAGCUGUCUUGUCAUCUUUGAGUAAAUAUUCUAUAAACCUGUGCAAACGGCGCGGCCCUAAAUAAACCUAGCAUCAAAGUGUAAUUGGUGUGAAAUGAAAUUCUUACUGGCCAAAUGCCUGUUUUGAUGAGUUGACUUACAAAGAUUUUUGUUAAAGCUCAGGAUUUUUAAUAAAGCUCAGGAUUUUUAAUAACAGUUCACAAAACAGUAUAGAUAUAGAGGCCAUAUGAAGAGAAUCAUUCUGUCUUUCAUUAACCUCAGCAGUUACUUUCUUUUGUUUGAAAAUUGAUUACAAUCUGGUUAUAAUUUUGGCCCAGAAUUAUUCUUCUUGACCCACACAGAAUGGGUUGUCCUCCCCUAACGUGUACCCACACUAACCCACUAGCAGCAGUGAGUCUCAGGCAGCCUUUAGUUCUCCCAGAAGUCGCAUCUACUGUGACUCACCCUGAUCUUGCAAAGCCUGCCUCGAGUGGCACAGCUGUCCCCGCACCUGGGGCUGCAGGCUCUCACCUUGUAUCUUGGGAAUUGUGGUGUGGCUUCAGAAGAUGGGGACUAAUUCUAAUGCAAAUUAGCGCUCAGGAACUGUACUCUGCUUUCUAAUGAAAAUGCUUCAACCGGCAGUAUCUAGGUAGGCUAGGACAUCUCACACCUGCGUCUCCUUCAGAGCUGCAGCACCCCGUAUGAUAUGAUGGCAAGAACACUUGAGUGUUUCUUCCAGGGCCUAGGAGAACUUUGUUUCCUAGAGCAGUGUGUCACUUGUGUGGAGUGGGGAGCUGGUACCUAGUGACUGCGCAGAUGUGAUUGUCCUUAACACCACAGGCAUGACAUUUGAACAAGAGAAAUGCACAGUCUUAGAAGUAGCAGUUACUGGCUUUAUGUAAUAAAGGAAGCAUUUUUAACUUC
rnacentral:lncRNA from 1 species